rnacentral:rRNA from 1 species
AGUCAUAUGCUUGUCUCAAAGAUUAAGCCAUGCAUGUAUCAGUACAAGCCACAUUAAGGUGAAACCGCGAAAGGCUCAUUAAAUCAGUUAUGGUUCCUUAGAUCGUACCCACAUUUACUGGAUAACUGUGGUAAUUCUAGAGCUAAUACAUGCAAACAGAGCUCCGACCGGAGACGGGAGGAGUGCUUUUAUUAGAUCAAAACCAAUCGGCGGCGGUGGCGUUCGCGUCGCCGUUCGCCGCUCAACCUGGUGACUCUGAAUAACUUUCCGCUGAUCGCACGGUCUCGCACCGGCGACGCAUCUUUCAAAUGUCUGCCUUAUCAACUGUCGAUGGUAGGUUCUGCGCCUACCAUGGUCGUAACGGGUAACGGGGAAUCAGGGUUCGAUUCCGGAGAGGGAGCCUGAGAAACGGCUACCACAUCCAAGGAAGGCAGCAGGCGCGCAAAUUACCCACUCCCGGCACGGGGAGGUAGUGACGAAAAAUAACGAUNCGGGACUCAUCCGAGGCCCCGUAAUCGGAAUGAGUACACUUUAAAUCCUUUAACGAGGACCCAUUGGAGGGCAAGUCUGGUGCCAGCAGCCGCGGUAACUCCAGCUCCUAUAGCGUAU